CUCAUGUUGGUGUUGUCUCUCAAGAUUUCUUGUGGUGAAACCGUUGUCUCCUCUGCCGUCAAAUCAGUAAUCAUCCCUUCUGCACCAUGUAUGAGCUGUCAUCUCAGCAAGCAGCCCUAUACAAGGGCUUUGUCUGCCACAGCUGUUCACCACCACAGUGACCUCACUGGGAGAAUAUACUGGAACAAGAUAAUGCGCAUCAGAAGAAGGUUUAAAGAAUAAAUGAAGCUCUGGGCAAGAAGUGAACAUGUUGCCACGUGAGCUACACACAAACUUUCUUCAGCCUUGCUGAGAAGAGUAGCUCUGCCAGCCAGAGCUCUUCCUCCUUAAGAAACAGAUAUCCAAAAGAAUUCAGACUGAAAUUUUUACUUGGAAAACUCAAGCUACAAUACAGCUUAAGGUUUUAAUAAU
ensembl:lncRNA